rnacentral:tRNA from 1 species
GCUUAGCUGGCUCAGUGGGUAGAGCAUGCAACUCUUAAUCUCAGGGUUGUGAGUUCGAGCCCUAUGUUGGGCA